rnacentral:tRNA from 1 species
AUCUGGAUAGUUCAAUGGGUUAGAACGUAUGUCUCAUAUACAUAUAAUGUGGGUUCGACCCCCUCUCCAGGUA